rnacentral:rRNA from 1 species
CCUACGGGGGGCUGCAGUGGGGAAUAUUGGACAAUGGGGGGAACCCUGAUCCAGCCAUGCCGCGUGUGUGAAGAAGGCCCUCGGGUUGUAAAGCACUUUCAGGGAGGAAGAACGCCUGGUGGUCAAUAGCCAUCAGGAAAGACAUCACUCACAGAAGAAGCACCGGCUAACUCCGUGCCAGCAGCCGCGGUAAUACGGAGGGUGCGAGCGUUAAUCGGAAUUACUGGGCGUAAAGCGCGCGUAGGUGGCUUGAUAAGCCGGUUGUGAAAGCCCCGGGCUCAACCUGGGAACGGCAUCCGGAACUGUCAAGCUAGAGUGCAGGAGAGGAAAGUAGAAUUCCCGGUGUAGCGGUGAAAUGCGUAGAUAUCGGGAGGAAUACCAGUGGCGAAGGCGGCCUUCUGGACUGACACUGACGCUGAGGUGCGAAAGCGUGGGUAGCAAACAGGAUUAGAUACCCGAGUAGUC